UUUUCCGGUUGAUCCUGCCAGAGGUUACUGCUAUCGGUAUUCGACUAAGCCAUGCGAGUUAAAUGUUCUUCGUGAACAUAGCGAACUGCUCAGUAACACGUGGAUAACCUGCCCUUAGGUUCGGCAUAACUCCGGGAAACUGGAGAUAAUUCCGAAUAAACCAUUAAUGCUGGAAUGCUUUUUGGUUCAAAGACUUCGGUUGCCUAAGGAUGGAUCUGCGGUCUAUCAGGUAGUAGUGGGUGUAAGGUACCUACUAGCCUACGACGGAUAUGGGUUGUGAGAGCAAGAGCCCAGAGAUGGAUUCUGAGACAUGAAUCCAGGCCCUACGGGGCGCAGCAGGCGCGAAAACUUUACAAUGCGGGAAACCGCGAUAAGGGGAUACCGAGUGCCAGCAUAUUAUGUUGGCUGUCCACAUGUGUAAACGGCAUGUGUUAGCAAGGGCCGGGCAAGACCGGUGCCAGCCGCCGCGGUAACACCGGCGGCCCGAGUGGUAAUCACUUUUAUUGGGUCUAAAGGGUCCGUAGCCGGUUUGAUCAGUUCUUCGGGAAAUCUGACAGCUCAACUGUUAGGCUUCCGGGGAAUACUGUCAGACUUGGGACCGGGAGAGGUAAGAGGUACUACAGGGGUAGGAGUGAAAUCUUGUAAUCCCUGUGGGACCACCAGUGGCGAAGGCGUCUUACCAGAACGGGUCCGACGGUGAGGGACGAAAGCUGGGGGCACGAACCGGAUUAGAUACCCGGGUAGUCCCAGCCGUAAACGAUGUUCGCUAGGUGUCAGGGACGGUGCGACCGUUUCUGGUGCCGUAGGGAAGCCGUGAAGCGAACCACCUGGGAAGUACGGCCGCAAGGCUGAAACUUAAAGGAAUGGCGGGGCAGCAACACAAAGCAGGAGAACGCC
rnacentral:rRNA from 1 species